rnacentral:lncRNA from 1 species
UGUUAAGAUUUUAUUUGAUUUUCUUUAUUUUUCUUAUUUUAAUAGAUAAAAAGAAAAGAAAAAAAAUCCAUCAGCCCUUCAAGGCGUCCCCCACCCCAAUGUCUUCCCCUUCCUUAGAACCUUUUUCUUUCUUUUGUACCUUCAUUAGUCUUCUAACCAAAUUUUCUUCCUUUUCGUUUCUUUCCAAUAGCUAUGAUCUACACUAGUGACUCCACUGUAUCACCUACUCUUCAGUAAAUUCUUCUUAAAUCAGAAGCUAAAUGGCUUUAUUAGUUAAAAUGAGAUCGUAAUUAGGGUGCGCAGAAAUUAAAGAUUGAUUUUGUUUGUGAUUUUGGUAAUUAGCUUAAAUCUUGAAUUGUGAUUUUAGCAUUAUUAUGGUAAAGGUUCUGUUUUUACAGAAAUUGGGUUGUAUGUUUGUUUAUUGCUCUAUCAUAUGGUCUCAUUGUUUCUCAAUGAACUGUAUGGAUAUGAAUUUCUAAGUUAUUUUCUUCAUGUUUUUAUGAAGUUUUCUUCUUAACAUUUUAUGGUGGUUCAGUGGGUCUUGAUUGCAGUUUUGACAAGUGGGCAUAGACGAACUUGUAAUUGGGAUGGUGGCGGAUUGCUGAAAAAAUUAGUUCUUUUGAAGGUUUUGACAGUGGUGAUGUCGUCACCUGUAGUUCAGUAGUAGCAUGCGAAGAUGAAGAAGAUGGAGUAAUGGGAAAUUUUUUGGUUGUUAGGGGUAGAAAUGUACUUUUUAGUAUUUUAUUUUAAUAAAAUUAAGUAAUGAUACAUGUUACAAUUUUUUUAGUGCAUGCUAUGCACCUACCUAAAAAUAAAGUAGUCAAAAUAAAAGUGGUGUGUCUUAGACCCGCUUUGAAAAAGUUGAGUGUGUAAAAUAAUUUUUAUCUGUAAAAGAUGUGUCACAAGGAUUUGGUCCAUAGGUCAGAGAGUAAACUAUA